GGCGGCACGCCUAACACAUGCAAGUCGAACGAAGUAGCAAUACUUAGUGGCAGACGGGUGAGUAACAUGUAGGUAUCUGCCCUUUGGCCUGGAAUAACACGAGGAAACUUGUGCUAAUACCGGAUAAGUCUUUACGGAGAAAGCUUUAUGCACCAUUGGAUGAGCCUGCACUUGAUUAGUUUGUUGGAGGGUAAUGGCCUACCAAGACUGUGAUCAAUAGCUGAUUUGAGAGGAUGAUCAGCCACAUUGGGACUGAGACACGGCCCAAACUCCUACGGGAGGCAGCAGUGGGGAAUCUUGCACAAUGGGGGAAACCCUGAUGCAGCGAUGCCGCGUGAGUGAAGAAGGCCCUUGGGUUGUAAAACUCUUU
rnacentral:rRNA from 1 species